UGGGGUAUCUUGGACAAUGGGCGAAAGCCUGAUCCAGCCAUGCCGCGUGUGUGAAGAAGGUCUUCGGAUUGUAAAGCACUUUAUGUUGGGAGGAAGGGCAGUAAGCGAAUACCUUGCUGCUUUGACGUUACCGACAGAAUAAGCACCGGCUAACUCUGUGCCAGCAGCCGCGGUAAUACAGAGGGUGCAAGCGUUAAUCGGAAUUACUGGGCGUAAAGCGCGCGUAGGUGGUUCGUUAAGUUGAAUGUGAAAGCCCCGGGCUCAACCUGGGAACUGCAUCCAAAACAGGCGAGCUAGAGUAGGGCAGAGUGUGGUGGAAUGUCCUGUGUAGCGGUGAAAUGCGUAGAUAUAGGAAGGAACACCAGUGGCGAAGGCGACCACCUGGGCUCAUACUGACACUGAGGUGCGAAAGCGUGGGGGGCAAACAGG
rnacentral:rRNA from 1 species